CACGAUAUAUCGCGUUAAGCGCAGCGAUACAUCGAUUAGCACAGGUGUCUCUGGCAAUCGUUAAAAUCACAUCUCUAUUUGGCGAUGGGUAUUAACUUCUUUAUUAAGAGCAUGGCCUAAACUCAAAAAUGGAAUACCCAAAUACGACAAAUAAUAGCGAUUUAAAUAAACAAUUUUUUUUUUCUACUCAACCUUUUUAUUUUAAAA